UGGGGGACCACAUCCUAGACUUAUAAGCAAGGUUGUUAAAAUCGGAUGGGAUUGGACGAUUCAACCGGUUGAAUCGGAAACCGGUCAUAACACUCUAAAAUGUCAGAGCAUUCCAGAACAAGUGAAAAUCAGUCGAGAAUCAGUCAAACCGGCAUAAAAGUGGCCAAAAACAAUGUCGAAACGGUAUAGAAUAUCGGUGUUGAACCCGUC
rnacentral:lncRNA from 1 species